rnacentral:rRNA from 1 species
AGCGAACGCUGGCGGCGCGCCUAAUACAUGCAAGUCGAGCGAGAAGACGUAGCAAUACGUUUGUAAAGCGGCGAACGGGUGAGGAAUACAUGGGUAACCUACCCUCGAGUGGGGAAUAACUAGCCGAAAGGUUAGCUAAUACCGCGUACGCUCCUUGGACUUCGGUUCAGGGAGGAAAGCGAUACCGUGGGUAUCGCGCUCUUGGAUGGGCUCAUGUCCUAUCAGCUUGNGGUGAGGUAACGGCUCACCAAGGCUUCGACGGGUAGCUGGUCUGAGAGGACGAUCAGCCACACUGGCACUGCGACACGGGCCAGACUCCUACGGGAGGCAGCAGUAAGGAAUAUUGCGCAAUGGGCGAAAGACCUGACGCAGCGACGCCGCGUGGGGGAGUGAAGGUACG